AUGCAACAAGAAGAUUAUAAAGGAAGCUUAAUCACAAUACCUUUACCUAAGGUUUCUGAAUUGCAUGCUCGAAUAAACUACAAGGACGACACCUUCAUCUUGACUGAUUUAGAAAGUCAACAUAACACUUGGAUCACUAAGCUACUUCCAAAUUAUCAUGCACGCGUCCGUCCUUCUGAUGUGAUUGAGUUUGGUUCUGAUGAGGUUUCGUGUCGUGUUAAGGUGAUAAGAUAUGCUCCAAGAGUGUCUCAAAAGGAAGGAAUGCAUAUUUUACAGGAAGUAUAA